UGAUCAAAUAUAUGAACUGUAGAUGACUGUAAAUAUACAAUUUACAGUCAUAUACAGUUUAUAUAUUUGAUCGUGUUUGUA
rnacentral:pre_miRNA from 1 species